rnacentral:lncRNA from 10 species
UCUCGGCUCACUGCAACCUCUGCCUCCCAGGUUCAAGUAAUUCUCCUGCCUCAGCCUCCUGAGUAGCUGGGACUACAGGUUCCCGCCACCACGCCCGACUAAUUUUUGUAUUUUUAGUAGAGAUGGGGUUUCGCCACAUUGGCCAGGCUGGUCUCGACCUGCUGACCUCAGGUGAUCUGCCCCGCUCAGCCUCCCAAAGUGUUGGGAUGACAGGCAUGAGCCAUGGCGCCCGGCCUUGGCUGGCUUUUAUAACUCACUGGAGAAUCAGUGCUAAUACAUGUGCCUAGGACCUUAAGGACUCAGGCAGUUGAAGAGCCAUUUCCUCUGUGUUGUAUUUCCUUUGGGGAUAUUUGUACUGUCAUUCUCACUGCCUGCUCCUCCCCACUCUGUGACUCCCCCUAACACAUCUGCCACUCCCAGUCCCAGUUUUUCUCUCUAGAGCAUUUUAGCUCCUGUUCUGGGGUUGAACUGGCCCGAUGUGGAGAUCCUCCAGGUGGGUUUCAUCUGAGUGCAUCCAGACUUGCUCGAGUCCCUGUUACCACCCCUCACCCCUCCACCCACCCUGGGGUGGUUAUAAGCCUGUUCCCUUCCAAAGCAAUUAGUGCAAGGAGGCCAGCC